rnacentral:rRNA from 1 species
GAUGAACGCUGGCGGCGUGCCUAAUACAUGCAAGUCGAGCGAACGGACGAGAAGCUUGUUUCUCUGAUGUUAGCGGCGGACGGGUGAGUAACACGUGGAUAACCUACCUAUAAGACUGGGAUAACUUCGGGAAACCGGAGCUAAUACCGGAUAAUAUUUUGAACCGCAUGGUUCAAAAGUGAAAGACGGUCUUGCUGUCACUUAUAGAUGGAUCCGCGCUGCAUUAGCUAGUUGGUAAGGUAACGGCUUACCAAGGCAACGAUGCAUAGCCGACCUGAGAGGGUGUUCAGCCACACUGGAACUGAGACACGGACCAGACUCCUACGGGAGGCAGCAGUAAGGAAUCUUCCGCAAUGGGCGAAAGCCUGACGGGGCAACGCCGCGUGAGUGAUGAAGGUCUUCGGAUCGUAAAACUCUGUUAUUAGGGAAGAACAUAUGUGUAAGUAACUGUGCACAUCUUGACGGUACCUAAUCAGAAAGCCGCAGCUAACUACGUG